GAGUGGCUCAGUGGUAGAGCAGCUGUCUUGCAUGCAAAAGGUUGAGGGUUCACUCCCCAGCAUCUCCA